rfam:Myotis davidii contig62737, whole genome shotgun sequence.
GGUUGUUCUUGGUUGACACACCCCAGAAUUGGGCUCCUUCCUCUCUGGUGUCAGGUGCAUCACCUGAGAACAGCA